rnacentral:rRNA from 1 species
CCUACGGGUGGCAGCAGUGGGGAAUAUUUGGCAAUGGGCGCAAGCCUGACCCAGCAACGCCGCGUGAAGGAAGAAGGCUUUCUGGUUGUAAACUUCUUUUGUCAGGGACGAAGCACGUGACGGUACCUGACUACUAAGCCACGGCUAACUACGUGCCAGCAGCCGCGGUAAUACGUAGGUGGCAAGCGUUAUCCGGAUUUACUGGGUGUAAAGGGAGCGCAGGCGGCGCGUUAAGCCUGGUGUGAAAGCCCGCGGCCCAACCGCGGGACUGGAUUGGGAACUGGCGCGCUGGAGUGCCGGGGGGGUAGGCGGAAUUCCUAGUGUAGCGGUGAAAUGCGUAGAUAUUAGGAGGAACACCAGUGGCGAAGGCGGCCUACUGGACGGUGACUGACGCUGAGGCUCGAAAGCGUGGGGAGCAAACAGGAUUAGAUACCCCUGUAGUC